GUGCUGGCUUCGGCAGCACAUACACUAAAAUUGGAACGGAACAGAGAUUGGCAAGGCCCCUGUGCAAGGAUGACAUGCAAAUCUGUGAAGUGUUCCAUAUUAAA